rnacentral:rRNA from 1 species
UACGUAGGGUGCAAGCGUUUAAUCGGAAUUACUGGGCGUAAAGCGUGCGCAGGCGGUUUGAUAAGUCAGAUGUGAAAUCCCCGGGCUCAACCUGGGAACUGCGUUUGAAACUAUCAAGCUAGAGUAUGGGAGAGGGAGGUAGAAUUCCACGUGUAGCAGUGAAAUGCGUAGAGAUGUGGAGGAAUACCAAUGGCGAAGGCAGCCUCCUGGCCUAAUACUGACGCUCAUGCACGAAAGCGUGGGGAGCAAACAGG